GAAGGCAGGGUAGCUGGGGGUGUCUGAGCUGGGUGUGUGUCUGCCUAGCUAGGUUGGGAUCCUGCUGGCUGUGUCCAACAAGCUCAGGAUUUUGUCAGCUUUCCAAGAGAGACAGGGGAAGGUUCUGAAUAAUCAGAUGCGACUUAAAGAAGGGAAGAUGGAACGGAGGUCUGUUUCUACCAAAAUGCUAAGAAAAAGGCAUGGCCAGGGGGGUUAAUCAAGGAGAAUCCACAGUCGACCGCCUGUAUCUUACACAUCAUUUGAAUACCAUGUGCUUGGCCCAGAGCCUUACUUGUCAGCACCUGAUCAGGAAUACAUAUCCAUCAACUUCUGGGUCCCUCCAGCCCUUCCUGCUCCUGACCAGGCUCUUGGUGGCAAGACAAUGUGUUGAUAGCAAGGUCUUCAGCAAGCCGUCCACUGAGGUGUUUGCUUGAAAUUUGAGAUCACAUCCCCUGAGAGGAAAAAGAUCUGGGUCUCUGGACUGGGGGAUUCUGUGAGAUCCCAGGGUUGUACCCCUUGGCCACAGCAAGAAGCAGAAGAUGGUUCAUCUAUGCCGGAGGGGGCGCUGGGGAGGGCCUGAAGAUGUCAGUGCUCAUAAAAGCUCUGACUACCUACCAUUGAGUCACAGAGCACUUUGGAGCCUAUAGUACCUGAAAUUUCAAGUGAGAAUGUAGGCUCUGGGGCAAUUAGUGACUUUCUGUGACUCUAUUUGUUAGUCUGUAAAACGGCUGUAUCUUCGGACGGAGUCGCACAUAGCACAAACUGGAUUCAAACUCUCUAGGUAGCCAAGGAUGAUCUUGAACUGAUUCUCCUGCCUCCGCAUCCCAACAGCUGGGAUCACCAGUCUAUUCAGGGCUAGCGAUGGAGCCCAGGUCUUUGUGUGUGCUAGGCAAGUACUCUAGCAAUGAAGCCCUGUCCUUGAUGUUUGGUUUUAGUUGGGAGUAUGGCUACUUUUUUUAAAAGAUUUAUUUAUUUUAUGUGUAUGAGUAUAGCAUACAGAUGGUUGUGAGCCUUUAUGGGGUUGUUGGGAAUUGAAUUUUUACGACCUCUGCUUACUCUGGUCGGACCUGCUUGUUCCAGAAGAGAGAGUCAGAUCUCA